UACGUAGGGUCCGAGCGUUGUCCGGAAUUAUUGGGCGUAAAGGGCUCGUAGGCGGUUUGUCGCGUCGGGAGUGAAAACUCAGGGCUCAACCCUGAGCGUGCUUCCGAUACGGGCAGACUAGAGGUAUGCAGGGGAGAACGGAAUUCCUGGUGUAGCGGUGGAAUGCGCAGAUAUCAGGAGGAACACCGGUGGCGAAGGCGGUCUCUGGGCAUUACCUGACGCUGAGGAGCGAAAGCAUGGGGAGCGAACAGG
rnacentral:rRNA from 1 species